rnacentral:rRNA from 1 species
UACGUAGGGUGCAAGCGUUGUCCGGAAUUAUUGGGCGUAAAGAGCUCGUAGGCGGUCUGUCGCGUCGGCUGUGAAAACCCGAGGCUCAACCUCGGGCCUGCAGUCGAUACGGGCAAACUAGAGUACUGCAGGGGAGACUGGAAUUCCUGGUGUAGCGGUGAAAUGCGCAGAUAUCAGGAGGAACACCGGUGGCGAAGGCGGGGUCUCUGGGCAGUAACUGACGCUGAGGAGCGAAAGCGUGGGGAGCAAACAGG